rnacentral:lncRNA from 1 species
GGGAUGAACAGCCAGAAGACUACUGCUUCCUCUCUCCCAGUCUGGCUGGGAAGUCUCCUUCCCACAGUCCCAAGCCAGCUGACCUGGGGACUGGAGUGGCAGCUGUAGCUUAGGAGAACUGAGAUGCAGAGGCCCAUCCCAUCAAGAAAGCCAGGGCCAGGCAGGAUGAGCCCAGCAUGCUGUCCUCCUCACUGCUGAGCACUGAUCAGUUGGUUCAUAUCUAAAGGAGGAAGACCAGGGCACUUCCCAGACUCAUGGGCCAACACAGACUCAUAGUCCACAACUAUCCAUGGGUUUUAGUGAGAGCUGGAAGAAGUACCUCAGUGAAGUUCAGGAAACAGUAUUUUAUAAAGGUAAUGAGAUUUGUGCAGAAUAAAGCAGACAUUACAUUGUUUAUUCGCCCCCACACCAAGUUUUCACCUAGACCCAUAAGAGAUGGGAAGGUUCUAAUUCCCAGACAGGAUCCAUAUCAUGGACCCAGUCAAGCUCACAGGCUCUGCUUUCAUGUGCAAAGACAUGUUCCACCUCCGCCCAGCUCAGAAAGUGUUUAAAAAUUGUUGUCUGCAGACAUAGAUGGUUUGCUCACCUUCAGCAUGGAGAUUUAUCUGGGUGGGCCAAACAAGGGGUUCUUUUACUCAAUGCUGUCUCACUAUUCUGGCCCAUCAAGCCAGUUCUCAUAAGGAGAGAGGCUGGGAGCAACUCACUGACGCAGUUGUGUCCUGGCUAAAUCAGAACUCGAUCUGGCUUGUCUUCUUGCUCUGGGGCUCUUAUGCUCAGAAGAAGGGCAGUGCCAUGGAUAGGAAACAGCACCACAUUCUGCAGCUGGCUCAUCCCUCCCUGUUGUCUGCAUAUAGAGGUUCUUUGGAUGUAGACACUUUUCUUUCUUUCUUUUUUUUUUUUUUGAAAUGGAGUCUCGCUCUUUCACCCAGGCUGAAGUGCAUUGGCACGAUCUCGGCUCACUGCAACCUCCACCUCCCAGGUUCAAGUGAUUCUACUGCCUCAGCCUCCCGAGUAGCUGGGAUUACAGGUGCGCACCACCAUGCCCAGUUAAUUUUUUGUAUUUUUAGUAAAGACCGGGUUUCACCAUGAUGACCAAGCUGGUUUUGAACUCCUGACCUCAAGUGAUCUGCCCACGUUCACCUCCCAAAGUGCUAGGAUUACAGGUGUGAGCCACCAGACCCGACUGCAUGUAGACACUUUUCUAAAACCAAUGAGCUGUCUCAGAAGUCCGACAAGAAGUCCAUCGACUGGAAGGAGCUGU